rnacentral:rRNA from 1 species
UACGUAGGGGGCAAGCGUUGUCCGGAUUUACUGGGCGUAAAGAGCGUGUAGGCGGCCAAGCAGGUCCGUUGUGAAAACUGGAGGCUUAACCUCCAGACGUCGACGGAAACCGCGUGGCUAGAGUCCGGAAGAGGAGAGUGGAAUUCCUGGUGUAGCGGUGAAAUGCGCAGAUAUCAGGAAGAACACCAAUGGCGAAGGCGGCAUUCUGGACCGAUAUUGACGCUGAGGAGCGAAAGCCAGGGGAGCAAACGGG